rnacentral:misc_RNA from 1 species
UCCGAGUUGACCCCGGCAGUCUCCUAUGAGUCCCCGGCUUGAACCGCUGGCAACAUAGGACAAGGGUUGCGCUCGUUGCGGGACUUAACCCAACAUCUCACGACACGAGCUGACGACAGCCAUGCACCACCUGCACACCAGCCACAAGGGAACGCCUAUCUCUAGACGCGUCUAGUGCAUGUCAAACCCAGGUAAGGUUUUUCGCGUUGCGUCGAAUUGAACCACAUGCUCCACCGCUUGUGCGGGUCCCCGUCAAUUCCUUUGAGUUUUAGCCUUGCGGCCGUACUCCCCAGGCGGGGCACUUAAUGCGUUAGCUUCGGCACGGAGGGAGUCGACACCCCCCACACCUAGUGCCCAUCGUUUACGGCUAGGACUAC